UCCUACGGGGGGCAGCAGUGAGGAAUAUUGCGCAAUGGGCGAAAGCCUGACGCAGCAAUGCCGCGUGAGUGACGAAGGCCUUCGGGUCGUAAAACUCUGUCUUUUGGGACGAAUGGUAUCCUUGUAAAUAAUGGGGAUACAUGACGGUACUUAAGGAGGAAGCCCCGGCUAACUACGUGCCAGCAGCCGCGGUAAUACGUAGGGGGCAAGCGUUGUCCGGAAUUACUGGGCGUAAAGAGCGUGUAGGCGGGUGAUUAAGUCAGAUGUGAAAACCCAGGGCUCAACCGUGGGAGUGCAUCUGAAACUGGUUACCUUGAGGACAGGAGAGGAAAGUGGAAUUCCUAGUGUAGCGGUGAAAUGCGUAGAUAUUAGGAGGAACACCAGUGGCGAAGGCGGCUUUCUGGCCUGUAACUGACGCUGAGACGCGAAAGCGUGGGGAGCAAACAGGAUUAGAUACCCGUGUAGUCC
rnacentral:rRNA from 1 species